rnacentral:rRNA from 1 species
UACGAAGGGUGCAAGCGUUACUCGGAAUUACUGGGCGUAAAGCGUGCGUAGGCGGUUUGUUAAGUCUGUCGUGAAAGCCCCGGGCUCAACCUGGGAAUGGCGAUGGAAACUGGCGAGCUAGAGUACGGUAGAGGAGAGUGGAAUUCCCGGUGUAGCAGUGGAAUGCGUAGAGAUCCGGAGGAACACCAGCGGCGAAGGCGGCAUCCUGGACUGGUCCUGACACUCAGGAGCGAAAGCGUGGGGAGCAAACGGG